rnacentral:lncRNA from 1 species
GUGCUCGUCUAAGCUAGUAGAAAAAAUACAAGUCGACGGAAAGGUAGCCGUCAGUCUCUGUCUAUGUUCAAGCCUGAAUUCUCCUCUUAGUUGCUUGUUUCCCUUUUAUAGAUAAACUUAUUUAAGGUGAACAAAAGAAUAAGUUUUCUUCUUCUGUUCACCUUAAAUUAGUUUGGUCUAAUGGGUUGAGUUACGCUUCACGGACUGAGUAACUAAGCUGCUCGCUCGGACUGUUAAGCUGAGCUCUCGUAUCAAGUUCGUGGUGUGGAGUAAAGUUGAGUAGUUAAGCCGAAUGAAGAUGUCAAAAUCGAUGGCACCAAACAACACUUAAACAGAGUUAAUUAAAUGGGCCAAAUUUUUUUUUGUUGGACUUCGUAGAGAGUAGUAAUCUAUUUUCUACAAAUAUGUGAGCAUAGAUGAAGAGAAGAAACUUUCGG